rnacentral:lncRNA from 1 species
GUGACUUGUAAUAGUAAGCUGGGGGAGGAGGAGAAGGGUACUUGUAUGGUGGAGGUGGAGGAGAUGGGUACUUGUAAGGAGGAGGAGGAGAUUUGUACUUGUAAACAGGUGGUGGAGGAGAUGGGUACUUGUAUGGUGGAGGUGGAGGAGAUGGGUACUUGUAAGGAGGAGGAGGAGAUUUGUACUUGUAAACAGGUGGUGGAGGAGAUGGAUACUUGUAUGGAGGGGGUGGAGGAGAAGGGUAUUUGUAGGGAGGUGGUGGUGACUUGUACUUGUAGACUGGAGGUGGUGGUGAUUUGUACUUGUAGACUGGAGGUGGUGGUGACUUGUACUUGUACACUGGUGGUGGGGGUGAUGGAUAUUUGUAAGGCUUCUUAGGAGGUGGUGGUGGUGACUUGUACUUGUAAACCGGAGGUGGUGGUGACUUGUACUUAUAAACUGGUGGUGGUGGAGAAGGGUAUUUGUAAGGCUUCUUAGGAGGUGGUGGAGGAGAUGAGUACUUAUAGGGUGGAGGUGGUGACUUAUUCUUGUAAAUUGGUGGUGGAGAAGAAGGGUACUUGUAUGGUGGUGAAGGAUGGUGAUAAGGAUGCUUGGGAG